ACUCCUACGGGAGGCAGCAGUGGGGAAUAUUGGACAAUGGGCGCAAGCCUGAUCCAGCCAUGCCGCGUGAGUGAUGACGGCCUUAGGGUUGUAAAGCUCUUUCAGUGGUGAAGAUAAUGACGGUAACCACAGAAGAAGCCCCGGCUAACUCCGUGCCAGCAGCCGCGGUAAUACGGAGGGGCUAGCGUUGUUCGGAAUCAUUGGGUUUAAAGGGUCCGUAGGUGGACGAUUAAGUCAGAGGUGAAAUCUUGCAGCUCAACUGUAAAAUUGCCUUUGAUACUGGUUGUCUUGAGUUAUUAUGAAGUGGUUAGAAUAUGUAGUGUAGCGGUGAAAUGCAUAGAUAUUACAUAGAAUACCAAUUGCGAAGGCAGAUCACUAAUAAUAUACUGACACUGAUGGACGAAAGCGUGGGUAGCGAACAGGAUUAGAUACCCUGGUAGGCUCUGC
rnacentral:rRNA from 1 species